rnacentral:rRNA from 1 species
UACGUAGGGUGCGAGCGUUGUCCGGAAUUAUUGGGCGUAAAGAGCUCGUAGGCGGUGUGUCACGUCGUUCGUGAAAACCUGCAGCUUAACUGUGGGCGUGCGGUCGAUACGGGCAUCACUGGAGUUCGGCAGGGGAGACUGGAAUUCCUGGUGUAGCGGUGGAAUGCGCAGAUAUCAGGAGGAACACCGGUGGCGAAGGCAGGUCUCUGGGGCAUUAACUGACGCUGAGGAGCGAAAGCAUGGGGAGCGAACAGG